rnacentral:rRNA from 1 species
CUCAGGUUGAACGCUGGCGGCAGGCCUAACACAUGCAAGUCGAGCGGAAACGACAACAUUGAAUCUUCGGAGGAUUUGUUGGGCGUCGAGCGGCGGACGGGUGAGUAAUGCCUAGGAAAUUGCCUUGAUGUGGGGGAUAACCAUUGGAAACGAUGGCUAAUACCGCAUAAUGCCUACGGGCCAAAGAGGGGGACCUUCGGGCCUCUCGCGUCAAGAUAUGCCUAGGUGGGAUUAGCUAGUUGGUGAGGUAAUGGCUCACCAAGGCGACGAUCCCUAGCUGGUCUGAGAGGAUGAUCAGCCACACUGGAACUGAGACACGGUCCAGACUCCUACGGGAGCAGCAGUGGGAAUAUUGCACAAUGGGCGAAAGCCUGAUGCAGCCAUGCCGCGUGUAUGAAGAAGGCCUUCGGGUUGUAAAGUACGUUCAAGUUGUGAGAAGGGGUAACGUUAAUAGCGUUAUCUCUUGACGUUAGCAACAGAGAAU